GCGCUGAAGCCAGUCGAAGAUACCAGCUGGCUGCAACUGUUUAUUAAAAACACAGCACUGUGCAAACACGAAAGUGGACGUAUACGGUGUGACGCCUGCCCGGUGCUGGAAGGUUAAUUGAUGGGGUUAGCCGUAAGGCGAAGCUCCUGAUCGAAGCCCCAGUAAACGGCGGCCGUAACUAUAACGGUCCUAAGGUAGCGAAAUUCCUUGUCGGGUAAGUUCCGACCUGCACGAAUGGCGUAAUGAUGGCCAGGCUGUCUCCAC
rnacentral:rRNA from 1 species